CGGGAGCCAGCGGCUGCGAGGCUGGGCAGGGGGAAGCAGCGCAUGUCUUGCCCCCGCGGCUACGCAGCGCCUCAAGACUUGAAGGUAACAAGCAGUCGGUGGAUCUGCACAGGUACUCACGUUUCACUUUGCAGGGCUGGAUCCGGCCAACCCUUGCUUCUCCAAGCGUGGUUACCAACAGGCAGUAUGGGCCUCACGCCGGAGCUGAGCUUGCUGGAAAUGCAGGAUCUCAGACUCCACCCCUAAUUGGCUGAACAAGGAUCUGCAGUUUAACAAGAUCACCAGCAGAUAGAUAAAGUGCUCUCAGCUUCCAGAGCUUCUCAUCACACUUCCUGGGAAGGAAGCCCUUACUGAGCUCUAGGAACUGGCUGGCUGUCUCCACCACACCUCUAGAGGACAAAGGCU